rnacentral:tRNA from 1 species
GGGUCGUUAGCUCAGUUGGUAGAGCAGGGGACUUUUAAUCCCAAGGUCAAGGGUUCGACUCCCUUACGACCCA